UACGUAGGGGGCGAGCGUUGUCCGGAAUGAUUGAGUGUAGGGGGCGUGUAGGCGGCUGAUUAAGUCUGGAGUGAAAGUCCUGUUUUCAAGAUGGGAAUUGCUUUGGAUACUGGUCAGCUUGAGUGCAGGAGAGGUUAUCGGAAUUCCCGGUGUAGCGGUGAAAUGCGUAGAGAUCGGGAGGAACACCAGUGGCGAAGGCGGGUAACUGGACUGCAACUGACGCUGAGGCGCGAAAGUGUGGGGAGCAAAC
rnacentral:rRNA from 1 species